GGGUUGUGAGGUUAAGCGACUAAGCGUACACGGUGGAUGCCCUGGCAGUCAGAGGCGAUGAAGGACGUGCUAAUCUGCGAAAAGCGUCGGUAAGGUGAUAUGAACCGUUAUAACCGGCGAUGUCCGAAUGGGGAAACCCAGUGUGAUUCGUCACACUAUCGUUAACUGAAUACAUAGGUUAACGAGGCGAACCGGGGGAACUGAAACAUCUAAGUACCCCGAGGAAAAGAAAUCAACCGAGAUUCCCCCAGUAGCGGCGAGCGAACGGGGAGCAGCCCAGAGUCUGAAUCAGCUUGUGUGUUAGUGGAACGGUCUGGAAAGUCCGACGGUACAGGGUGAUAGUCCCGUACACCAAAAUGCACAGGCUGUGAACUCGAAGAGUAGGGCGGGACACGUGGUAUCCUGUCUGAAUAUGGGGGGACCAUCCUCCAAGGCUAAAUACUCCUGACUGACCGAUAGUGAACCAGUACCGUGAGGGAAAGGCGAAAAGAACCCCGGCGAGGGGAGUGAAAAAGAACCUGAAACCGUGUACGUACAAGCAGUGGGAGCACCUUCGGGUGUGACUGCGUACCUUUUGUAUAAUGGGUCAGCGACUUAUAUUCUGUAGCAAGGUUA
rnacentral:rRNA from 1 species